CUAAUACCGGAUAUGACAUGCCUGGGCAUCUGGGUGUGUGGAAAGUUUUUUUCGGAUGGGGAUGGGCUCGCGGCCUAUCAGCUUGUUGGUGGGGUAAUGGCCUACCAAGGCUUCGACGGGUAGCCGGCCUGAGAGGGUGACCGGCCACACUGGGACUGAGACACGGCCCAGACUCCUACGGGAGGCAGCAGUGGGGAAUAUUGGACAAUGGGCGGAAGCCUGAUCCAGCAACGCCGCGUGAGGGAUGACGGCCUUCGGGUUGUAAACCUCUUUCAGCACAGACGAAGUUCUAUCUUUUUGGGUGGAGUGACGGUAUGUGCAGAAGAAGGACCGGCCAACUACGUGCCAGCAGCCGCGGUAAUACGUAGGGUCCGAGCGUUGUCCGGAAUUAUUGGGCGUAAAGGGCUCGUAGGCGGUUUGUCGCGUCGGGAGUGAAAACCCCAGGCUUAACUUGGGGCCUGCUUUCGAUACGGGCAGACUAGAGGCAUUCAGGGGAGAACGGAAUUCC
rnacentral:rRNA from 1 species